AACGAACGCUGGCGGCAUGCCUAACACAUGCAAGUCGAACGAAGCCUUCGGGCUUAGUGGCGCACGGGUGCGUAACACGUGGGAAUCUGCCCUUUGGUUCGGAAUAACAGUUAGAAAUGACUGCUAAUACCGGAUAAAUGACGUAAGUCCAAAGAUUUAUCGCCGAAGGAUGAGCCCGCGUAGGAUUAGGUAGUUGGUGGGGUAAUGGCCCACCAAGCCGACGAUCCUUAGCUGGUCUGAGAGGAUGAUCAGCCACACUGGGACUGAGACACGGCCCAGACUCCUACGGGAGGCAGCAGUGGGGAAUAUUGGACAAUGGGCGAAAGCCUGAUCCAGCAAUGCCGCGUGAGUGAUGAAGGCCUUAGGGUUGUAAAGCUCUUUUACCAGGGAUGAUAAUGACAGUACCUGGAGAAUAAGCUCCGGCUAACUCCGUG
rnacentral:rRNA from 1 species